AAACUUGGGCUAAUACCGCAUGAGCCCUGAGGGGGAAAGCGGGGGAUCUUCGGACCUCGCGCUAAGGGAAGAGCCUACGUCUGAUUAGCUAGUUGGUAGGGUAAAGGCCUACCAAGGCGACGAUCAGUAGCUGGUCUGAGAGGACGACCAGCCACACUGGGACUGAGACACGGCCCAGACUCCUACGGGAGGCAGCAGUGGGGAAUUUUUCGCAAUGGGGGCAACCCUGACGAAGCAAUGCCGCGUGGAUGAAGAAGGCCUUCGGGUUGUAAAGUCCUUUCGUGGGGGACGAAAAGGCGGGUCCUAAUACGAUCUGCUGUUGACGUGAACCCAAGAAGAAGCACCGGCUAACUCCGUGCCAGCAGCCGCGGUAAUACGGGGGGUGCAAGCGUUAAUCGGAAUCACUGGGCGUAAAGGGUGCGUAGGCGGUACGUUAGGUCUGUCGUGAAAUCCCCGGGCUCAACCUGGGAAUGGCGGUAGAAACCGGCGCACUAGAGUAUGGGAGAGGGUGGUGGAAUUCCAGGUGUAGCGGUGAAAUGCGUAGAGAUCUGGAGGAACAUCAGUGGCGAAGGCGGCCACCUGGCCCAAUACUGACGCUGAGGCACGAAAGCGUGGGGAGCAAACAGGAUUAGAUACCCUGGUAGUCCACGCCCUAAACGAUGAAUACUAGAUGUUUGGUACCUAGCGUACUGAGUGUCGUAGCUAACGCGAUAAGUAUUCCACCUGGGAAGUACGGCCGCAAGGUUAAAACUCAAAGGAAUUGACGG
rnacentral:rRNA from 1 species